rnacentral:rRNA from 1 species
UACAGGGGGUGCAAACGUUGCUCGGAAUCAUUGGGCGUAAAGCGCACGUAGGCGGUUCGUUAUGUCGGAUGUGAAAGCCCUUGGCUUAACCGAGGAAGUGCAUCCGAAACUGGCGAGCUAGAGUACUAAAGAGGAUCGCGGAAUUCCCGGUGUAGAGGUGAAAUUCGUAGAUAUCGGGAGGAACACCGGUGGCGAAGGCGGCCAUCUGGACCGGCACUGACGCUGAGGCGCGAAAGCGUGGGGAGCAAACAGG